CCUCGGCCUCCCAAAGUGCUGGGAUUACAGGCUUGAGCCACCGCGCCCGGCCGACUCUGUGCUUUUUACAAAGUAAUAGUCUUCCAUAGAUUCAGCACCGACUCAAAUAUGCCGUACUUCCCACCAAAGCAACUUUUCAUUACUUUACAACGCUAAAGAAGACCUGUUCCCCACCAGAUUCUUCUUUCAAAUAAUCAGUCUCAAUACGUUUUCUUCUUUGUAGUGCCCAUUUUCCAUGCCUUUAAUCAUUUUUGCUAAGUUCCUUUGGACUUUAUCCAAGUUUCUGUGUCAUGUUUAAACUGUGUGGCCCCCACAAAGACCUCAAGAGGUUAAAGAAACAAAACACAAAGAUUCCCCUGUGGCUGAAGAAGGUUAUACUACAGCUGAAUAAAAUUAAUAAACUUUCAACAGCUUAUCUGAAAGCCUGAUAAUCAAUGUAUUUACUAAAAUGCUCACCCAGAGUGGCUGGAGCAUGUGUGAAAGUGGAGCUGGAAGAGGGAACGUUCUCACUAUAAUUUUACUCACAUGAACAUCGAUCAUAAAAGUUCAGUGACCAACACUUUGGCCAAAUUUCUGGAACCCAGAUGAGCACUUGAGGCAAACGAAAACCUGCGGUAUAGCAGGCCCCUGUGGACGUUGGAUUUACAUGAAUUUGACUGGUGGUCUUGGGAAGGUUUGAAGUGGAACGGGUGCUGGAGAAGGCAAAAGGGACCAGAUGUGAACAUAACCAAAAAACACCACUGUGACUGGCACUUCAGAGCACCUUUGCUGACAAACUUUGCAUGGAGUCAGAAACGUAAUGGAUGAAAAAAGCCACUUUCUGACAACUGAAGACGGCACACGUAAAGCGCACAGCCAGGGCAGGACUAAGCAAAUGCAAGCUGUGAUUUUAUCAGCAGCAUGUUCUUGAAGGACGAGCAUCUUGAUAAAGGAAGGGAAAACUCAUAGUUUAUGAGACAUGGAACGGGGCAUGGGAGGAACCCCAUUCACCAGGCCUCCCAGUUUCAUGGAAAGAUGCGCUUCCUAGAGUGGCACCCGGACCUCUCUCCCCAGCUUACCUGACUGGCUGGGCCACACAGGCUUUCUCUUUCGAACCUGCCUGCCCACAGAGGGUGCACUUUGGACCUGCUCCUGCCAUGUGUCGGGUGGACUCUGCAUCUGUGUUACAGAGGCCAGCAGCAGUCCAGCUGGGCUGGUAACUGGGUGGGUAAAUUUGUCUCAUUUGGAAAUGGAGUCUCAGAAACCCCACUGAGACCAUGCACCUGAGCAUUCCUUCAGUCCAGCUUCUGUCAAUAAUAAAACCUUUAUUUUUAUCUCCUCUGUCUGUUCCUCAACUGGUGAAUUCAGGAGGCAAGAGAGGAGUUGUACCUGCUUCUUCCCCCAAAGCCUGACAGGAAUUUUAGACAUCCCAGAAUCUUCAUUUGAUUUAAGCAUUUCUUCCUCCUUUCAGAAUAGUGGAUGCAAGAAAACUGAGAAGCCAUUUAAGCUGCUUCUGAGCAGGAAGGAGAGAGCACAGAGUCAGUGGCUGCUGCCCACUCCCCAACCCCACAUCUCUUUGGAAUAUGGCUAGAAAGGCAAAAUAACAAAUGUCUGUCCUUGCCUUCCCCUAGCCUUCCAAAGGCACACAUUUUCCAACUGAGCAGCUCCUCUAAGAAUCAAUCAGUGCUGAGGCCUUAGAUGAAAAAGAGAAGAGUACUUCGUCACCAUCGAGAAUCUGAGGAGCCACGGACAAAGCCUUCAUCUGUAGAUAAGGAAGGUGUGGCUUUGUCCGAAGACGUACAUCCAACCACCAAGAAUGGCACUUUCAAGCUCAAGGGCAUUGCUCUCGACUUCCGUUUUCUGUUCCAACACAACACACUCCCGUCAAUCAUGGUGGUUCAAAUCAUGGCAGUGACUCUCCAGAUGGGAAGGUGGAUCAGACUCCAUGUGAGGCAUCAAUGUUACAUACAGUUUUUUAAAGUCUCCAGGUAAGAUUCUGACUCACCUCUCUCUGGGGUCAGGCCUGGAUAUAAAUCCAGGUAUUGCUACUUAGUAGGUAUAUUAAUGUUAACAAGUUACUAUCUGAGCUUCAACAGCCUGAUCUAUAAAAUGGGAAUAAUAAUCUAUCCAAUCUGUCUUGCAGGCCUAUCCUUAGGACUAAAGGAGAUUACAUUUAGAUCAAGACUUAGUUUCUGACUUGGAACAACCAAUGGCUACUGUAUCAAUUCAGGAUAGCCUAGGAUAUGCUGCAGUAACAAACAACCCUGGUGUUUCAGUGGCUUAACACAAAACAGUGUGCUUCUUGCUAAUACCAAGUCCACUGCAGAUCUAAGCGGCUCUCCAGAGCACCUGUCAUCCUCACCCGGAAAUUCAGGCCACCUGAAAUUACAAAGCCUCCUGUGUGAUCCUACUGCAGGGAAGAGAGCACGGGAGGAUCUCACACGAAAUUACAGUUCCCACAUGAAACUAGCAUAUGUCACUUCUGCCCACAAUUCCCUUCUUCCCUCAAGAAUACAGAAGUAAAAUCUAAUACGCAAUCUAGGAUGUUCAUAUAGCUCAGGGAAGACAGUCCAAACUAGGCAAGCUACCGAACAGGAAGUGGAAAUGACUUCCCUUCUGCCAAACAAGGCAAAAUGCGGCAAUAAUACGUGCCCACCGGAAGACAGAGAACACAGCUUCAUCUCUGAAAGAUGAAGACCAACGGCCGCAGUUACUGUGGUACUCGUAAAAGCAGCAAGGCAAAAUAAAACCAACACAAAAAGAAUCUGCAUUAGGAGCGUAUCUUAGCUGGUUUUCAAGGAGUAAUGAAUCAUCUCUACCAUUACUCUGGGCUUUCUCCACCAGAAGGUACUGACUUAGCGACCGUCUGUCAAUAGGAAAAACGACUCCGUUGAGCUGGGCAUAAAAUCCUAGGAGCGCUGCAUGAUGCAUGUGCUGUGCAUCUUCUCGGCGGCCCCCUUCUCCCUCUUUUGGCUCUCAAAGCUAGAAACCAUUGAACAUCUAGACAGGCUGCCAGUAAAUAUCCAAUGGCCUAUACUAAUUUUUUAAAGCCUCAAAAUGAUUUUAUCUGGUUCAUACUUAAAAGAAAUCACUGAUGUUAACAAAGCCCUGACCAAGCAGGAUUCCCUUAACCCAAGGGCUUUGCAUCAGUUUCCUUGUGUCCUGUGCUCCUAAAGCAGCGACUAGCCCCACUGAGGGAGCUGCUGUCCCCACAGUGCACCGCUGACAGCAGUCGGUACAACCAACACAGCAGAGUAGCAUAGAAAGUAAUCCAUCAGCAGCUUUGUUUUUGACCACAUAAGCACCGAAAACCAAACCUAAAAGGCAUGGGAGGAGAGGAGGCAUUGAAUCUGAGGAUUCCUUGAAUUUAGCCAAACACAUAUAAAUAUUUCAGCACACUUCACAGGAUUUCAUAUAUACUUACCUUCUUCUCUCUUUCUGCAUAAAUAAUAGGCUCACAUCUCUUCUUCUCAACACUUUUUCCUUUCUUUUCCAAGACAGAGUCUCG